UACGGGGGGGCAAGCGUUGUUCGGAAUUACUGGGCGUAAAGGGCUCGUAGGCGGCCAACUAAGUCAGACGUGAAAUCCCUCGGCUUAACCGGGGAACUGCGUCUGAUACUGGAUGGCUCGAGUUUGGGAGAGGGAUGCGGAAUUCCAGGUGUAGCGGUGAAAUGCGUAGAUAUCUGGAGGAACACCGGUGGCGAAGGCGGCAUCCUGGACCAACACUGACGCUGAUGAGCGAAAGCCAGGGGAGCAAACGGGAUUAGAAACCCGGGAUCGAGUCCAGUACCCAAGUCUACCAUGCUCCCGUAAUCAACCCCGGACAUGCCCCACUAGGAAGUAGGCCCUU
rnacentral:rRNA from 1 species